AGUGUAGGCGGCUUCGUAAGUCGGAUGUGAAAGCCCCGGGCUUAACCUGGGAAUUGCAUUCGAUACUGCGCGGCUAGAGUCUGAUAGAGGGAAGUGGAAUUCCAGGUGUAGCGGUGAAGUGCGUAGAUAUCUGGAGGAACACCAGUGGCGAAGGCGGCUUCCUGGAUCAAGACUGACGCUGAGGCUACGAAAGCGGUGGGGAGACAAACA
rnacentral:rRNA from 1 species